AACUAGUUAAUAUAAUAUAAUAUAAUAUAAUAUAAUAUAAUAUAAUAUAAUUUAUAACAUAAUAUAUAUAAUAAUAUAUAUAACAUAAUACUAUAUUUAGGAAUUGGAUCACAUAAUUAUGGAGGCUGAGAAGUCCCAACAUCUGCAGUCAGCAAGGUGGAGACCCAGGAGAGCUGAUGUGUAGUUCCAGUCUGAGUCUGAAGUUCUGAGAAUCAAGAAAACCAAUGAUGGACUACCUCGUGUCAUGGAUAGGCUUUCCAUCUGCAGUGCCACACCUUCUCAACAGGUCCAUCCCAAUGUGCAGACAGUUCCACAGUAUUAGGAUGGUGUUUCUCCAGGAGGUGAUGGGUUAACAUCUGGGUUCUAAAAAGAAGCAUAUCCUAAGUCGAGAAAGAGUACAGUGAAGGGUAGCGAAGAGGAGACAGGAGAGGGCAGCGUGACCAGUGCCAUGGUGAGCCAUUUGAGAAAAGAAGCUGCUCAAGGCUAUGG